rfam:Musca domestica strain aabys unplaced genomic scaffold Scaffold1851, whole genome shotgun sequence.
GGAGUUCAAAUUGACUCUAGUAGGGAGUCCUUUUUAUACGAGUGACUCCCUAACGGAGUCAGAUUGAAUUACUU